rnacentral:rRNA from 1 species
CCUACGGGUGGCAGCAGUGGGGAAUAUUGCACAAUGGGGGAAACCCUGAUGCAGCGACGCCGCGUGAGUGCAGAAGUAAUUCGUUAUGUAAAGCUCUAUUAGCAGGGAAGUAAAUGACGGUACCUGAGUAAUAAGCCCCGGAUAACUACGUGCCAGCAGCCGCGGUAGUACGGAGGAGGCAAGCGUUAUCCGGAUUUACCGGGUUUAAAGGGAACGUAGACGGCUGUGAAAGUCUGUAGUGAAGGGCUGGGGCUCAACCCCCGGACUGCACUUGAAACUGUACGGCUGGAGUGCAGGAGAGGUAAGUGGAAUUCCUAGUGUAGCGGUGAAAUGCGUAGAUAUUAGGAGGAACACCAGUGGCGAAGGCAGCUUACUGAACUGUAACUGACGUUGAGGCUCGAAAGCGUGGGGAGCAAACAGGAUUAGAUACCCUUGUAGUC